CUUUAUCUUUUUUUCUUUUCUUGUUAAACAUUUUACAAAUGUCGGAGACAGUUUUGGGGCACUAUUUAAAUAUAGUUCUAACAUGAGAAGAAAGAAACAUGUCUCUCCCAAGAUAAGUAAGAGAAGUAUAAGUAGAACAAUCAAAGGUCGAUUUCAAUAAAGAAUCUGGUGGUAUAAAAAGAAUAUGAAUCCAUGUUCAAUAUAUCAACAAUAUAUCAGAUUGUAAAAAUAGAUUUAUCUUCCACCUAAUACACUACAAAAACAUUGAAACACAAUUACAAACAAUUAUUAGUAAAAUAGACCGUUUCGUAUAUAUCAUGAGAGAUGUAAUGGAACAAUUUGUCAACAAUUUCUGUAACCAGCCAUAUUUCGCAUUUAUUUUGUUUAAUAUUUAAUAUAAGUGGAAACUAUUUUAUGUACCAAAAUAAAUGUGAGAAAUAAUGUAG